AAAACUUGGAAUUUGAAGUAUCCAUUUCUUUAAUGGCUAAAAGGUAAAAUAAGGAAGUAUAGCUGAGUGAAUUUUUUGCUUGUCAUGUGAUAAAUUAACAUUCAACAUAGGAAGUCCAAAACUAUUCAGUUCACAUGAUCUCAGUAUUUGUCUCCAUUUUAAAAUUGUAUCAAAAUGAAAACAUUUAUUCCUGAGCCUGGAAGGCCCUCAUUUUUCAGAUAUUCCCUUAAUGGGAGUCAUGAGUGUUAUUUUAUUUGGGAGUCAGAAGUAGCUGAGAUAAGAAACAGUAACAGCUUUGGGAUUUCUUUCUUCCCUUCCUUCUUAUUCCUUUCUAUUCGACCAGGAAGAAGUGCAAUUUAGGUGAGUAACAGCAAGGCAUCCUACAUUAAGUUAGCAAGUGAGGUUGAAAAGUCAAUCUUACAGGCUUUAGAGGAGCUGAUACUAGCAGAAAAACUGUGCCUGCAGAACAAAGCCAGAAGAUAUCAAACAUCCUAAGAUCUGCUUUCACAAAUCAACAAAGUACAUAAACCAGAAAAAAAAUGCCUUCCUCUGGUUUGUUUCCCCAAAAUGAGAAACUGCGAAAGCCUGUAAGUGAAGAGCGAAUAUGAGAUGGUUGUCAGUGUAAUGUCAGCUUCUAGCAGAACAGAAAUAACUCACAAGUCUUGGAAUAAGUUCUCUAUUGCCUUGCACACUGUAUAGUCUUUUAAUCAAAAGCCAGAAUGAAUAGUUUCCAUCCAGCCUCAAAAUACCACGUCAUAUUAUGCAGAAAGAGGACUAUUGCAGAAACACUGCUUUUCCUGUCUUUAAGAUCUAAAACCACUACUAUGCAGGGUUCUGCUUGAGUAAUAACCUCAGUAGCAUUCCUUUUUCCUUUUGUGUAAAAUAUAUUUUGGCUCGUGUUUUGUUUCAACAUACUUCUAUAAAUCCUCGUGGGACACAGUAUGGGGGCCCUUCCAGGAUGUGACCUUUAGAUAUUGACAGAGGAGGUGUAUAUGCAUGUAUUCUCAUAUGAUGGCAGCAGAGGGGCAGACUGACGGAAUCCAUCGGAAGCAAGGGUGUGCCACUGAAUUCCUCCAUGCAGGAAAAAAUGCCACCCAUUGACACUGAUCAAUGCUUGCUGAAUGUUUCUGGAGACCAACCUGUGGGUGUGAGCACAAUGAGGUGGCUUUGGGAUGAGGAGGAGACAGAUGUGAGAGCACAUGUGAAGGCUGGCACUUGCUGUGGGACAAGGAGUCACAGGCAGUCUGCGGUGCUGCUGGAUUCCACUGACCUACCCAGUGUUGUUCAGCUCCAUUAAUGCUUUUUGAUUUGGAAGCACAAAUGAUUUCAGCAUCAGCCUGUGGUGGUGGUAUGUUCAACGAGAUAAGUAUUAAACAAGGAACCACUGAAAAACAGUAAAUUUAAAACCAUCAAAAAGCUUCAAGAUUCUUCUUGGAUGAGAUCCUUGUUAUCUUGGAUGUGUAAAUCCUACUGCAACUCAGUGACAGUCAAACUUACUUGUUCGCACCUUCUUUAAAGCUAUGGAAAACUUUGCUUGCUACAGAAAUUACGAAGUUAAAUAUACCUUCAGAUUUCUGUGGAUAUAAACCAUUUCUCCCUGAAUUUUGUUGGCCAGAUUGAAUUUCUCUUUUUUUUUAGGGAAAUAUGCAUCAUUUGGUAUUAACUUAUUAGGUGGUGGUACUUGGUAAGUAAAUGUAUUUUUAAAAUUUUACAGAAUAUUUCUUUCAAAAUAGCUGUAAGAUAUUGAAAUAACUAUUUUAUAACACCUCCUAUCAUGAUUGAAUGGAACAAAAUAAUGUCUGAUAUUGUCUAUCUGAGUAACUUCAUCCUUCUUCCAAAUUUGCUGAAUGAUCAUUUACUGUUUCCCAUUUCAGAUGAUCGAACAUUUCAUUGAUGAAGCUCAUAAAAAACUUAUUCAAAACCAUACUGAAAUUCAAUGACAUAUCUGAAAAUUAAAUGUUUUUUGUGCACGGACCAACCAUAGGUUAUAUCAGCAAGAUCCUUAUGUGAUCAAUUAGUGCUCCAAAGACAAACCUCUCUCCAGGAGUAAAAUAUGAGCCCCAGUCCUGGAGGGGAUUAACCCUCAGUUCGAGAAUAGUUAUUCAUUCCUGUAAUUGAAUACAAAAGACAUAGGGAUUGAUUUUCACCUAUACCCAAAUUCAUGGCUCCUGGGAGGGUAUGAGCUGCUGACAAAUAAUUUCAGCUUCAGCCAUUGAUUAUGCUUCUAUAGUGAACAUUACAUAUACAGUAAGGUUGAUGUAAUAUAUAUUGCUGGAGUAAUAUAAUAUAAGUACUCCCCAUUUCUUAACCUAUCUUUCACUACCCUUAAGCUGUGCCGUGCACAGGAGAUGUAGAAUUCGGCUUCCUAGGAAGGAAAUGGCCAUGAAGCAGAAAAAUGAAUUCACCCUCAUUGUAUUGUAGUGAUGUGGUGAAGAUAAUCACUGCAGCUUUAUUCCAUUUAUUUUGAAAGAGAAAGCCUUUGCCUUUUCAAACUGCCUUGACCAUAUCACCACUCAUCUAUUUGCAAUGAAAAUCUGACAUCAGAGUACAGAAUUAUAGCUGGAGAAAUUGUCUUCUCAUUUCAUAUUUACCUUGUUUCCUCUCCUGAGUCACUGGAAAUGCAGCGACCUAGGUCCGUGCUUUUACACUUUUUUUUACUAUAUAUACACACGUAGAUAAAAAAAUUAGUGUGUGUGUACUGCCAAACUCUUCAGCUCACUACUCAUCUUCCCAGGUGUCUUCACACACCGUAAUUUCUGGUGUUUAAAAUUGGUAGACUGCAAAAAGUAGCACUCCUGCGUUCCCUCUCAUUCAUAUUGUGAAUAUUCAGUUCUCCAAGAAUUUUGCUGCUGGUGUCUGACCAGCCAAGCCCAUAUCAGAAUCGGCCACAGUCUAAUCAUAGUUUUUACCAAUUAAAACUUGUGUGCUAUAAUUUGUUUUUGUUUGUUUGUUUGUUUGUUUUGAUAACCUAAAGCAUAUUCUACUGUUUGCUGUUAAAAUAAAAUCCUUUCUGUUUACCUCCUCAUGGCUCACUGAAAAAAAUAUAUGCUUACAAUUGCAGCUUUCAAAAUGUUUUUUAUUUCUUCAGAUUUCUACUACAAAGCUUCAAUGUAAUCAAUAAUUCUAACUAGCUAUCUGACAGAGUACUUAACUUUAUUUUUCCUAAUAAGAACAAAUAGUUGGAGAAGAAUGUGUCCAAAGCCAUUUUUUUCCAUUCCUUUCUCAUGGCUUGCCUCUUGUCUUCUGUAUAAGGAAUUUUAGCAUUUCAAAUUUUAAGCUGAAGAUAAAUCCUUCUUUUUGAAGAAGUGUUUCUCACCAAGAGAGCCUUUUUUUUUUUUAAAGUAAGGAUAGCAAAUCCAGCCUGAUAGAACAAACACCUGAAGACAUUUUCUGUACAAUAAUAUCUCUUUAACAGAAUUAAAAUUCUAGAGAUUUAAUUCUUUGCAGACUUAACUCAACUGAAGGAAUAAGAAAUGCUGUGAUAAAACAAUAUGAUUACUUCAGUCUCCAUGUAGUAUAAAGUACGAUUCUACAGGAUUUCUUCAGUAGCCCAUGUCCAUAGUGAUCUUAAUUUUUGCUUUGUCAGAAGAGCUCUAUGAUAGGUUAAUUCUUCAGAAAUACUUAUCGUCCAUUACAUCAGAUUUCAUUUAUUUCUCCACUAUGAAAUGCAAUUUUUGGAAUUAUUAUUCUUUUUAUUAUUGUUGCUAUUACAGAACUUCCAGUGUUGGACAAAUUUACUGCUGGUACCUUCCUGUUUUCAUCCCUUUUCUUCCAAAUCCAGUGCCUAACCAAUUGAUUGUUUACUUGGAUAAACAAUUUGUUUUCCCUAAUGAAAAAAGAUAAGACUUCAUUGCCUAUUUUGUGUGGAACUGGGGCUCCUCUAGCUUCUGCAUUUUUUCCUAUUACAUCAUAAGUCCUACUUCUAGACAGAAAUAAGAAUGAGAGAUUGCAGCCUGUAGAGCUGCUACUUAUAUAGCUGCUAGAGUUACUAUCUUAGCAUGCUCAAACAUAUUCCUUAUCUGCUUCUUUUUCACUGUUCUUUUCUGAUUAAUGGUGGAUUUCCUGAUAUGUUAGGAUAUUACUGUCCUAUCUGCAGAAAUAUUGUCUCUCAUUUGGAGGAUGGUGGGAUUUUUUUCAACUUAAAUUUUUACUUUGUGCAUUGUAAUACUAAUUUCAGUUCCUAAUUUUCCAGUAAGGCAAUUAGGACACUAAAAUUUCCCAAUCACGGAAAAAGUAAUUAGUUACUAGAAGAUAAGGAUGUGCAAAUUUGAACAAAUUUGUAUGUAUUUAUGGAUAUAAGAGUUGGCUUGCAUGUGUAACUUAGAAUUUUACAUAAAUGACAUAAACUCAUUUAAAUAUAUAAAAGUAAAAAUCCAGUACUUUUUCUAUUCAUCUUCUGUGGAAUUUAAUAGCUUUUUUUAAAAGGCAUGCAUUUUCAUGAAUUGAUGUUGGUAUAUAAGCAAGAUUAUGUAUUUUCUUCAUUAACUUUUACAAAGUAGAUAUGUAGGUGGAACUAAACAUUCAAAAGCUAAGCAAAGUUUGUGUUGUUUACAUAAAAGUAUUGGUAGAUUACAUCUACCCACAAAAAAAAAAAAAGUCAUGUAUUUUUGUUUUCAGAUAAAAAUGCACAUCUCAAAGACUUUCUUCUCUACAACUCAAACUUUCCAAAGGUUUUGAGUCAAAUUAUAUCUGAGUGUUCACUUAAAAAAAGGAAAAAACAAAACAAACAAACAAAUAAAAAAAAAUCAGAACACGGAGUUCUGUAGAAGUUAGGUAUGGUAGUUAAAAACCUUUCUGUGAAUGGCCAAAAAUACCCAAACGUUGGACUUGCUGGAACAGGAUAUGUGUUGUAAAGGAAAGCUGACAACAGAUGUUCAUAUUGUUGAAUGCUUUUGACUCAGAUCAUCAUUGGGUUUCAAGCUGUUAAUGGUGAAAGAGGUAAGAUCUCCAAGACAAGAUCUCAAAGAAAGAAGAAACUGAUCAGAGUACUUAGAUCUGAUUAUUUCAACUCACCUGACUAGCAGAGUCUUGGAGUAAAUCUGCUGAUCUGAGUGGGAUAAUCAUCUUGACAUUGGCAUUGCCUUGCCAGUGGAAGCAAAGGGUUUUCAAACCAUGGAUGAGACAAUAGAAUUCCUCUCAUCAGUAGCAUGUUGAGGUGCCAUGAUAAGACAUUGACACAGAUGGUACACAGCAAAGCAAGGUGGAAGACUUCAGGGAACCAUCCAAGUCUUAUCCAGUGAUCCUCUUAUCUUUUCAAUACUAUGGACCAAGAAGCAAUGAUGCUUUAUGUUAAAAAAAAUAAUAAUAAAACAAAAAAGAGCAAUCUCAGGACAAGAAGUUACUACAGACAUAUAACCCUCAUUUCUAAAGGCAAAUCUGCCUUGCUUUCAUUUUUCAAAAGAAAAGGGCAAGUCUGUUUACUUCAUUCUCAUCAGAAGUGCUGACCCUUGUUCUGCUAAUCAGGAUAGAGCCUGCAUUGAUUCCACCUGGAAAAUAACAUAGCUGAAAAUCAGAUGGUUUACACUCACACCAAAAUAUAUAGCAAUAAUGAAGUUGGAAGAGCAAGGCUCAGCCUCAAGCUUGAUCUGACUCAUACCAUGAAAUCAUCAGGUUUUUUAAGCUCAGGAGGGUUACAGUUCUUCAUUAUCUGAAUGGAAGACUUCACAAAAAGCCUCAGGAGCUGAAGGAGCAAUGGAGAUACUUCAGCUUGAAAUCAAUACACUGGUGUGCUGCUCAGUUCCUUGGAUCACUUUGUCACUUGGAGGUGAGUACCAGCAGGGUUUGAAUGCUUACUGCCAUUACAAAACCUGCAGCAAGAGCAUCCCUGCAUCCUGUCGGUGCUCAGCUGACCUAUUAGAGAAGAUUACUGGAACUAAAUACCUUACUGAAGAAAGUGACAAAGCUAUUGAACCUAUGUCUGCCCACCCUUGGUCACAUCAAGCUCUGCUUGCCACAGUACAAGGGGACCCCUCUGCUAGCUCAGCUGCUGGAAAGAGUGGGGUCAUGAAGGCUGCCAUGUGAUGCUUUCCUAGUAUUGUUCCAGCCUGUGAGUUGGAGGUGGACAUCCUAAGCUUAAGGCGGACUUGGAGUUGCAUGUUUUUUUUCUGUUCGCUUGCUUGUUUUUGUUCAUUUUUCAAUAAAUAUGCAUUCUCUCCUUUCUUUAGUUUUUC
ensembl:lncRNA